rnacentral:lncRNA from 1 species
UUUGGCGGUGUCUCGCCUGCCCGCCCUCUGCUGCGUGCAUGUGCGUAUGAUCUUUCGGUCUAAAGCCAGGUCUUGUACAUGUCGUCCUUGUAUGCAGCACCUUCGAUUUCUUUAGCAUUUCCGCCUCUGAGAAGUUGCUCUGGGCGCCCCAAAGCAGGCCACGGCUGGCCUAGCUAGCUUCCCUUGCUUUUGCUUUCUUCCCGUUGGAGCCUCGGUCGCUCACACGCACUUGCCUUUUCUUCUUGCUGAGCAGGAGGUAGCAGGCAGCCGGGGGCACGGCGCAUCGCAUGGAGGAGAGAGUGAAAAGAGGAAGAGCAGGAGAAGGUGAGGGCGAAGAAGCGAGCCUAACGGAAAGGAGCCUUGGGGCGGGCCCACCGGCCCUGAGGUGAGGGGAAGGGAGGGAGGGGUGGGAGGAGGAGGAGGCGGAGGAUCUCCUCUCACGUCAAAGGUGGGGGAAAGCAUAAAGGAGGAAGGAGGAAGAGAAGGUGGUGGAGAGGAGAAAGCCAGCUGCUUCACUGAGUGAGCAAGGAUAGAGUGUGAGUGAGUGUGGGAGUGAGCGAGUGACACCUCUCCCCCUAUGUAGAGCUGUAGAGCGUGAGCUUGAGGGCAUCCUGUUCUUCCACCACCAUUUCGUCGCCCAGCCACUACAGUCGGUCGGCGUGCUGGUGGAGUUGAAGAGGAGGAGACGCCAUGGCAUUGCAGGAGCAGGAAGAAGACGAAGAUGAAGGAGAAGACGGCGAGGAAGAUGGGAUCAUGACGAGGAGGGUGCUGUGGUGGGGGAGGAGCUGCUGCUGAUUUCCUCCCCUGUCUGACCCGAGGCGCGCUGCCUGCUCCGGAGUAGUAGUAAGAUAUUGGCACAAUAGGCUCAAUCACUUUUUCUUUCCCCUUGUUUUGCUGUUUUUGCGCUCCUUUCCCCGUUCAGUCCAUUGAUGAUUCCAUACUCUUCCCCCUGUAAUUUCUUUUCCCCCCGCUGCCCCUUUUGAUCUGUUGUUCUUGGUGGUUUCCCCGAUUCGGAACGGAAAAGGCUUUGGCAAACGCAAAAGAGGAGCGGCAGCUAGCAGUAAGUACUCUCACUGUGCGCUUCAGGAGCAUGGCAAAUCUCCGCCCGAGCCUUGUCCCGUCCCCUUUGUUUCUUGCGCUCGUCCGUCCGUCCGUCCGUUCGUUCUCAUCCACAGGCCAUAUCGAUCGAUCGGUCGACCGGCUGCCCGCAUGUGCCGUGCCGCCGCUGUUCUGGAUUCAACCCGCACAGUGGGUGGGCGAU